rnacentral:rRNA from 1 species
GACGAACGCUGGCGGCGUGCCUAAUACAUGCAAGUAGAACGCUGAAGAGAGGAGCUUGCUCUUCUUGGAUGAGUUGCGAACGGGUGAGUAACGCGUAGGUAACCUGCCUUGUAGCGGGGGAUAACUAUUGGAAACGAUAGCUAAUACCGCAUAACAAUGGAUGACACAUGUCAUUUAUUUGAAAGGGGCAAUUGUUCCACUACAAGAUGGACCUGCGUUGUAUUAGCUAGUAGGUGAGGUAAUGGCUCACCUAGGCGACGACACAUAGCCGACCUGAGAGGGUGAUCGGCCACACUGGGACUGAGACACGGCCCAGACUCCUACGGGAGGCAGCAGUAGGGAAUCUUCGGCAAUGGGGGCAACCCUGACCGAGCAACGCCGCGUGAGUGAAGAAGGUUUUCGGAUCGUAAAGCUCUGUUGUAAGUCAAGAACGGGUGUGAGAGUGGAAAGUUCACACUGUGACGGUAGCUUACCAGAAAGGGACGGCUAACUACGUC